UACGGAGGAUCCAAGCGUUAUCCGGAAUCAUUGGGUUUAAAGGGUCCGUAGGCGGUUUGGUAAGUCAGUGGUGAAAGCCCAUCGCUCAACGGUGGAAACGGCCAUUGAUACUGCCAGACUUGAAUUAUUAGGAAGUAACUAGAAUAUGUAGUGUAGCGGCGAAAUGCUUAGAGAUUACAUGGAAUACCAAUUGCGAAGGCAGGUUACUACUAAUGGAUUGACGCUGAUGGACGAAAGCGUGGGUAGCGAACAGG
rnacentral:rRNA from 1 species